AGUGAACGCUGGCGGUAGGCCUAACACAUGCAAGUCGAACGGCAGCACAGUAAGAGCUUGCUCUUACGGGUGGCGAGUGGCGGACGGGUGAGGAAUACAUCGGAAUCUACUUUUUCGUGGGGGAUAACGUAGGGAAACUUACGCUAAUACCGCAUACGACCUACGGGUGAAAGCAGGGGAUCUUCGGACCUUGCGCGAUUGAAUGAGCCGAUGUCGGAUUAGCUAGUUGGCGGGGUAAAGGCCCACCAAGGCGACGAUCCGUAGCUGGUCUGAGAGGAUGAUCCGCCACAACGGAACUGAGACACGGUCCAGACUCCUACGGGAGGCAGCAGUGGGGAAUAUUGGACAAUGGGCGGAAGCCUGAUCCAGCCAAACCGCGUGGGUGAAGGAGGCCCUCGGGGUGUAAAGCCCUUUUGUUGGGAAAGAAAAGCCGCAGGGUAAAACCCCGCCGUUUUGACGGUAACCAAAGAAUAAGCAACGGCUAACUUCGUG
rnacentral:rRNA from 1 species